AUGAAGUUGGGGAAAUGGCCUGGGAACCAGCUGGCCUGGCCCUGACACAAGGUUGCUGUGUUGAGGCCUCAGCGCUCAGCCCUAUUCUAGGUUUCAUGCCCAACACCAUCCCAUAUGGGCUCAGCUGUCCAGCGGUCGCCUGGAGCUCUAUGUGCCAUGUUCUCAGGAGUGCCUUGGCCUGACACCUGUACCAGACGAGGUCAAGUGCUGACCACCUGCCAGACCCUGCGCUGGACAUAGCAGGACAACCCGUUGUGGCCCUCAGAUGACCAAGGUAUGAGAAGCUGAGGAUCAUCAAGUAGCUGCUCAGAACCCCACACCCUCCCUCUGGCCGGCUCUAGGCGCCCUGAGGUCUGCUUUUCACCAGCAGGUCCGACUGCCAUCCCAGCCCGGCUCCUGGGAGGCUAGGAUGAUUAAAUGGGCACCGGGCAGAGAUGAGUCGGAGCCUGGCCAGCUUCCCCCAACCAGCACCAGCCAGCUCUUGGCCAUGACCAGCUCCUGUGGUCUCUAGCUCAAGGCUGCACAGGGCCAGACAGGGGCCAGACAGGGAGGCUGGUCCUCUCAGCAUGGGGGCUGUGGACAGGGCCCCCUCCUCAAGCCCAGGCCAGAGUUGGGUUACAAGCUCUGAGGGUCUCCUAAUGAGU